rnacentral:rRNA from 1 species
GACGAACGCUGGCGGCGUGCUUAACACAUGCAAGUCGAACGGAAAGGCCCUGCUUUUGUGGGGUGCUCGAGUGGCGAACGGGUUAGUAACACGUUAGUAACCUGCCCUUGACUUUGGGAUAACUUCAGGAAACUGGGGCUAAUACCGGAUAGUAGCUCCUGCUGCAUGGUGGUGGUUGGAAAGUUUCGGCGGUUUGGGAUGGACUCGCGGCUUAUCAGCUUGUUGGUGGGGUAGUGGCUUACCAAGGCUUUGACGGGUAGCCGGCCUGAGAGGGUGACCGGCCACAUUGGGACUGGAAUACGGCCCAGACUCCUACGGGAGGCAGCAGUGGGGAAUAUUGCACAAUGGGCGGAAGCCUGAGGCAGCAACGCCGAGUGCGGGAUGACUGACUUCGGGUUGUAAACCGCUUUCGCCUGUGACGAAGCAUGAGUGAAGGUAAUGGGUAAAGAAGCACCGGCUAACUACGUG